UUACGGCUACAUCACGUUGAACUACCGGUUCCCGUACGAUCACCGAAGCUAAGCAACGUCGAACUAGGUCAGUACCUAGAUGGGUGACCGUUUGGGAAUACCAGGUACUGUAAG